rnacentral:rRNA from 1 species
AUUGAACGCUGGCGGCAGGCCUAACACAUGCAAGUCGAACGGUAACAGAACUAGCUUGCUAGUUGCUGACGAGUGGCGGACGGGUGAGUAAUACUUAGGGAUCUGCCUCUGUGUGGGGGAUAACUAUUGGAAACGAUAGCUAAUACCGCAUAACGUCUACGGACCAAAGAGGGCUUCGGCUCUCGCGCAGAGAGGAACCUAAGCGAGAUUAGCUUGUUGGUGAGGUAAAGGCUCACCAAGGCGACGAUCUCUAGCUGUUCUGAGAGGAAGAUCAGCCACACUGGAACUGAGACACGGUCCAG